rnacentral:sRNA from 1 species
CGCAGGCCUGUCUGAUGAGAUGGUUUCAUAGUAUGAGCAGGGGUGUUUUUCCAUAAUUCAUAACAGAAUUUCUUCACCUGUGUUCACCAGCUAUCUCUCGACAGGAAAAAAGGGCGCGGGCCAAAUCAUCCGUGGCAUUCAAUGAGUUCUUUGAGAUCGUACUCAUCAUGGUCCUUGAAUAUGUGAAAUCCCUCCCCAUAUAUAGAAGUCUGAUAAGCUGGGGAAAUCUUACGGAGCAAAAUCAUCAACAGCCCUGGUGUGUUACAUCUUGCAGUAUGUGAGCUUACCAGGACCACAGAUGCC